rnacentral:misc_RNA from 1 species
UAAUAAGUGUUUUAUGGCACUUUUAAAUCCAUAUCCACCUUGUGUGCAAUGUCAGUCGAUCUUCUUCAUGGAGAUCGACCAAACAUCAACCUUUAUCUUUUAACUCCUUGUCUGAAAAAUAUUAUGAAUAAACAAUUCAAAAUA